GAUGGAAUUGACGUUGAUGCACAGUUAAUAUUAUCACUAUCGUUUAAAAACUCUGUACUUCUACACAAGGGACACACGUGAGUUCAGAAACUAGUAUAUAUAUAUAUAUAUAUAGACACACACUCAUAUACUUGCCAACAGCAGCUCUUUGCAUUUUGUUUCAUUAUUAAUACAAAGCUUAAAUGACAAACAUAUAAAUAAGAAAAGACUGACGAAACCACUGAAAUUAAAUUGAAAUCUUAGAACCUACAUGAAGGUUUAUCUUCUAAUAGAGUAGCAUUAUACCAGCAAGUACAACAUAUCCAGCAGUCACUACAAUCACUGUCAGAAGUGCAAGAAUUCCAACAAGUAUUAAGUUGUGGGAAUAACCUCCUCGUAAUUCUUGAGAGGUCAUGCUUAACAUCGAGUGUAGCCAUGAAUUGUGUCUUUGAGAUCCACGACAUGUUGACUGAAAUAUUUCAUCAUCAUAGUUAUAAAAUAAAAUUAUAAACGGUACAUCAUUAUAAAACAUGCAUGUCGAAAUGUCAUGGAUAAAGAUGCAUGCAUAUUCUUGCAUACAUAUAAAUAUGUAUAUAGUCUCACAUAUGUACCUAAAUACAUAAUUGAAAGCAAGCAGAAUCAAAAUUUAAAGAUAGUAAAAAUAGAUACUAACCAGUGAUUGCUAUAAGAAGAACAAUGAAAAUAGAACAAAGCUUAAACAAUGUCAUGAUUGAAAAUUUGAAAUUAUACUUCUCUUUGCUUUCCGGUGGUCAUAAUUUAUAGACC
rnacentral:lncRNA from 1 species